GCUGUACCUCCAUUUUAUUUUGUUUGGAUAACUCAGUGCAGCAACACACCCGUGACCGUCUAUUGUUUCCCUGUCAACCAAGUAAAUAUCACCCCUGGAAUAGGUUGCAAUACGAACAACCAAAGAAAACAGUCUCUUUCGUUUGUUACUAAACUCAUAAGUAUGUAUUGACUUCCCCUUUCAGUCUAUCACUAUCAGUUGUCUACAGCUUUUUGAUUCCAAGGGGAAACCUUCACCCUGUUCACGAAC
rnacentral:lncRNA from 1 species